GGACAUGAGAUGAUCUGGCUGCAACAACUGUUACCCCACCGAUCGCCAGGGUUGAUGGUUGAUCUGACUGGGUGGGCGGGUUUUCCCUUUCCUACCUCAAAGCUCCAUGUGCAUUCAGGCCGAAGCUGUGUGGUCAGUCGAAGAGGACGACCACCCCCAGUAGAGGAGGACCAUUCCUGGGUCAGGGGUAUAGGAGUAGCUGCACUCCACUGUUAGAACUUCCAAACAAGCUCUCAAGAAUAGCUGUUGACCCUUAUAAAGAACAAAGGGCUGUCAGAUAGUAAGAUAUGUUGCUGGGCUGUAGGAACAAAACCAG
rnacentral:snRNA from 1 species